AACGAACGCUGGCGGCAUGCCUAACACAUGCAAGUCGAACGAAACCUUCGGGUCUAUUGGCGCACGGGUGCGUAACGCGUGGGAACCUGCCCUUAGGUUCGGAAUAACUCCCCGAAAGGGGUGCUAAUACCGGAUAAUGUCUUCGGACCAAAGAUUUAUCGCCUUUGGGUGGGCGCGCGUUGGAUUAGCUAGUUGGUAGUGUAAUAGCCUACCAAGGAGACGAUGCAUAGCUGGUAUGUGAGGAGGACCAGCUACACUGGAGAUGAGACACGGCCUAGUACGGUACGGAAGGGAGCAGAGGGGAACACUGUAGACUGGGGGAAGGUCUAACAAAGCAAUGCCGGGGGAGUGAUGAAGGCGGUAGGGUUGUAAAGUUCUUUUUGCCGGGAUGAGAAUGACAGUAACGGGUGAAUAAGCACCGGCUAACUACGUG
rnacentral:rRNA from 1 species